UUGUGUCCUGAGCUGUUGUGUUGUGUCCUGAGCUGAGGUGUUGUGUCCUGAGCUGAGGUGUUGUGUCCUGAGCUGAGGUGUUGUGUCCUGAGCUGAGGUGUUGUGUCCUGAGCUGAGGUGUUGUGUCCUGAGCUGAGGUGUUGUGUCCUGAGCUGAGGUGUUGUGUUGUGUCCUGAGGUGUCGUCGUGUCGUGUCCUGAGGUGUCGUCGUGUCGUGUCCUGAGG